AGCGAACGCUGGCGGCAGGCUUAACACAUGCAAGUCGAGCGGGCAUCCUUGUGGUGUCAGCGGCAGACGGGUGGGUAACGCGUGGGAACGUGCCCUUCGGUUCGGAAUAACUCAGGGAAACUUGAGCUAAUACCGGAUACGUGCGAGAGCAGAAAGGUUUAUCUGCCGAAGGAUCGGCCCGCGUCUGAUUAGCUAGUUGGUGAGGUUAUGGCUCACCAAGGCGACGAUCAGUAGCUGGUCUGAGAGGAUGAUCAGCCACACUGGGACUGAGACACGGCCCAGACUCUUACGGGAGGCAGCAGUGGGGAAUAUUGGACAAUGGGGGCAACCCUGAUCCAGCCAUGCCGCGUGAGUGAUGACGGCCUUAGGGUUGUAAAGCUCUUUUCUCCGGGACGAUAAUGACGGUACCGGAGGAAUAAGCCCCGGCUAACUUCGUG
rnacentral:rRNA from 1 species